CUGCGCAGUCGGUCGUGAUUGGACCGAAAUAUUUGGAGGACGUGCCCGCUGGUCGAAACGCCGCGCGCAUCCAAACGAGGUGAUGACCACGUCCGCACAGCCAUGGUGUCUCCGGUGACCAAAGCCGUCUUCAUCGCUCUCUUCCUCUUCGCCAUCCUGCUCAUCCUCUACGUUAUCCUGUGGUACAUCUGCCGCGACGCCGACAACGACUUCAUCUGAGCCCGAGCGCGAAGGUCACGGAGGGCAACGCUACGGUAGGACGAUGGCGGCUAUAAUGACCUUGGUCAUACUGGAGGAGCACUCAGUGUGACAGCAGUGGAGGUGCACAGAAGGGCAGACAUGGAAGGAACCAGAAACUGUACAGGCGGGCAAGGAAGAACUCAACUGGGCUGACAAAUGGGGGGACUGACUGGUACUGAUAAACAACAUGAAUACUAGGACACCAAGGAUGAAAAUGGGAAGGAAAAGAAGAAGACUGGAAUAACAGACCAUCAGCUCUUUCAUCAUGAAUCGUAUGCUCUGAUUUUGUAGUCCUGUAGUCUCUGUAGUUAACACUACUGUAAUGUCUUCCCUUCAGUUCUGCAAUGACUGAAGACUAAUGGUAGUAUUAGCGCUAAAUCUGAUGUAAAGACAUACAAGAAGUGAAUAUGAAUGGCUUUUGGUUCUCUAAAUGUCUGUAUUCAGAUUUAAACUGGCGAUGUGAUCCACACUAGAAGUGUUUUUUUUUUCAAUAGAUUUGAAAUGAGACAAAAUAAUGCAUAAAACCUCUUAAUGUCAUUUUCUGUGUUCAACAUAUUUGAACCUUGUGAUGAGCUAUACAGUUUGAGACCAAACACCCUCCCAGCUGGUGAAAACUGGAGGAAAUUAAAUAGUACACUCAUAGAAACGA